rnacentral:rRNA from 1 species
AGUGAACGCUGGCGGUAGGCCUAACACAUGCAAGUCGAACGGCAGCACAGUAAGAGCUUGCUCUUACGGGUGGCGAGUGGCGGACGGGUGAGGAAUACAUCGGAAUCUACUUUUUCGUGGGGGAUAACGUAGGGAAACUUACGCUAAUACCGCAUACGACCUACGGGUGAAAGCAGUGGAUCUUCGGACCUUGCGCGAUUGAAUGAGCCGAUGUCGGAUUAGCUAGUUGGCGGGGUAAAGGCCCACCAAGGCGACGAUCCGUAGCUGGUCUGAGAGGAUGAUCAGCCACACUGGAACGGAGACACGGUCCAGACUCCUACGGGAGGCAGCAGUGGGGAAUAUUGGACAAUGGGCGCAAGCCUGAUCCAGCCAUGCCGCGUGGGUGAAGAAGGCCUUCGGGUUGUAAAGCCCUUUUGUUGGGAAAGAAAAGCAGCAGGUUAAUACCCCGCUGUUCUGACGGUACCCAAAGAAUAAGCACCGGCUAACUUCGUG